UACGGAGGGUGCAAGCGUUGUCCGGAAUCACUGGGCGUAAAGGGCGCGUAGGCGGCUCGGUACGUAGGGGGUGAAAUCCUGCGGCUCAACCGCAGGGCUGCCUUCUAAACUGUCGAGCUCGAGCACGGUAGAGGCAGAUGGAAUUCCCGGUGUAGCGGUGGAAUGCGUAGAGAUCGGGAAGAACAUCAGUGGCGAAGGCGGUCUGCUGGGCCGUUGCUGACGCUGAGGAGCGAAAGCGUGGGGAGCGAACAGG
rnacentral:rRNA from 1 species